AUUCGUUUGAACUCAACAAAGCACCAGGCACGCAUACUCGCUGCCGAGUAACAAGAGCUGCCGGGGCAUUAAUUUCGAGUCAGCUGCCUUGAAGCUCGAUCUAACCAGUUUCAUAGGAUGCUCCGCUGCAAACCAGAUUCGCCGGAGCAUUUCCAUUAUUCUCUCUGUAGCCCGGUGUGCCGUGAAUCUGCACCGAGCACAGAAAGAGGAGCGCAUAUUUGAAAUUUUGUGAAGCGAAUUGAAUUUAUAGAAACGAAGGCUUUUGGCUUUGAUGCUGCUGCGGCUCACUCGACAAAUCAUACUGCGUCAGUAUAGCGGAUAUUACUAAAAAAUUGAUAUUCGGUCGAUGGAUCGAAUCGCGUUGAGUUAAGCGAACGUUUAAAAUGAUUCAAUCACCCGACGAUAUGUAUCGUCGAUGGAUUGCUUGACAAAUAUUCCAGGAAAAU
rnacentral:misc_RNA from 1 species